AGUUUCAUUAGCAUAUCUGCCAGUUUCAAUUCGAAGCCGGUGUGAAAAAACAUCUAAACUGAGCAAACGCAGCCCUGAAUUUUGAAAUAGUGAUUUAUUUGAUAUACAGUUCAAACAAAAUG